AUUGAACGCUGGCGGCAUGCCUUACACAUGCAAGUCGAACGGCAGCACGGGUGCUUGCCCCUGGUGGCGAGUGGCGAACGGGUGAGUAAUACAUCGGAACAUGUCCUGUAGUGGGGGAUAGCCCGGCGAAAGCCGGAUUAAUACCGCAUACGAUCUACGGAUGAAAGCGGGGGACCUUCGGGCCUCGCGCUAUAGGGUUGGCCGAUGGCUGAUUAGCUAGUUGGUGGGGUAAAGGCCUACCAAGGCGACGAUCAGUAGCUGGUCUGAGAGGACGACCAGCCACACUGGGACUGAGACACGGCCCAGACUCCUACGGGAGGCAGCAGUGGGGAAUUUUGGACAAUGGGCGAAAGCCUGAUCCAGCAAUGCCGCGUGUGUGAAGAAGGCCUUCGGGUUGUAAAGCACUUUUGUCCGGAAAGAAAUCCUUGGCCCUAAUACGGUCGGGGGAUGACGGUACCUGAAGAAUAAGCACCGGCUAACUACGUG
rnacentral:rRNA from 1 species